rnacentral:rRNA from 1 species
UGAGGAAUUUUGGACAAUGGGGGAAACCCUGAUCCAGCGAUGUCGCGUGAAUGAUGACGGCCUAUAGGUUGUAAAGUUCUUUCGUCGGUGAAGAUAAUGACGGUAACCGAAAAAGAAGCUCCGGCUAACUUCGUGCCAGCAGCCGCGGUAAGACGAAGGGAGCAAGCGUUGCUCGGAAUAAUUGGGCGUAAAGGGUGCGUAGGUGGUUUUUUAAGUGAAGUGUUAAAGACUCGGGCUCAACCUGAGGGGUGCAUUUCAUACUGAAAGACUUGAGUGUAGGAGAGGGAACAGGAAUUCCUCAUGUAGAGGUGAAAUUCGUAGAUAUGAGGAAGAACACCAGAGGCGAAGGCGAGUUCCUGGAAUACAUACUGACACUGAGGCACGAAAGCGUGGGGAGCAA